CCUUCCGGUCUCCGUUUCGUAUAUUAUCCGCCGCGAGUGCAAUUCGCUGCGCAAUUGCCACGUGUUUUCGCGGUCUGCAUUUUUCGUUCGGACUCUAGCAGUCAAUAGUCAUCCGCGUUUCUAUACGCGCGAUGUGCGAAUAAUAUUUUUACUAUAUUUAUUUCUGCUACGCUCGCGAGUGCAUAUUUUUUCUAUAUAGUCACGUGUCGUCGCUGUAAAUGCAACUAACUUGGUACUUAAAUUUAUAUAUAUUACGCCUAACUGCCCAAGAUAUACGCACAUAACUUCGCCACCCGAUUACUUGUUGUCAAACGGGUGAUGCGUGAAGUGCGUGUUCAUAUAUUUAUCAUUAUUGGUUGUUUCGCGUUCGACGUCUUCGCUAGGUCAUUGACCUCACGUCUCGUCAGCUGACUGCACGGCUAUAUUGGUCAUACGUCGCUGUGGGAUUGCUGCCGUUUCAACGCAUUGCAUGUACAUGUCACAGGUCUUAUUAUAAUAUUACAUAUUAUUGUUAUUGCUAUUAUUUAUUGUCAAUUAUUAUAUGUAUACUGUUAAUAUUCUUAUACAUUAUGUCUAGGCGUCCAUAUUAUUUAUAUUGAAUUACUUAUUAUUAUUAUUAUAUCAUAUAUAUUCAUAUUGUGCACAGCACUUAUUUUAUUGUAUUUUUCAUACUCUUAUAUUGAAUCGGUAACCCUCACGCGACACCUCUGCUCAGGUAUUCAGUCACCCCGGCCAAAUCGGUGUUUCCGAAUUGCGGACAAAGUGACAAAAACCAUGUGAGUUGCGGACGAAAUCUAAAAAGGAUCAACUGGAUCAAGAAUUUAAAAAGAAAAAUCAUCUACUGACAACAAAUUAAAAAAGCCAAGUUUACGAAAACGAAGAAGAUAGUGAUGACGAAAACUUCAUCCCUGAUGUUAAUAAUUCAGCUAAUUAUGGCGAAACCAUUGAAGAUGAGAUAGAUGGUAUAUGGGACAUGCUAAAUUCUAUGGAGGCCGAUCUAAAUUACUGCUCACGGCUAAAUCCCAGUGACCGUAAUACAAAGGUUACAGAAAAAUGGCAAGAAAUCAUGCGACAUUUCCAAUUUAUGAACAUAGAACAGACAGUAGGUCUCAUCCUGUUUCGUGGAUCAAAUUAUAUUGAAUAUGUGGAUUGUGAUAUUGAAGGUGACCUCGGGAGGAUUUUAAAAGCUGAAAAUGUUGAGUACUUAACAGAAGCAUCUUCAGAAGAAGAUCUAUUAGAGGUAUUGAUGGGUUACACUCAAGCUGAAGUUUUACUUCAGCUUAAAUUUGAAAACGAAUUUUUAGCCCGGGAUGAAGAGGAGAUACAAG